UAAAAAUUAAGAAAUGAAACUUUUAUUAAAACAUUUCUUACAUACCAUUAUAUUGGCUGGGCUGCAAAAAUAUUCAUUAUGGACUGCAUGCAGCCUGUGGGCCACGAGUUUAGCAUGUUUGCUCUAAUGUUUGGUUUUUCAGAACGA